GUGUUCUAACUUUAGUUUGCCUCAACCAAAUGUUAUGAAACUUAUACACAAUGCUUAUUACCACAAAACACAGGUCAAGUUUGAAUUUUGGUGGCGUCACUUUUACCGUUCUGGAGUUAUGUCCCUUUACAAAUGGAAAAAUUGCUGAAUUUAUCGUUUCCAUUCUCUAACUUUAGUUUGCCUCAACCAAAUGUUAUGAAACUUAUACACAAUGCUUAUUACCACAAAACACAGAUCAAGUUUGAAUUUUGGUGGCGUCACUUUAACAGUUCUAGAGCUAUGCAUGCCCCUUUACAAAUGGAAAAAUUGCUGAAUUUUUCGUUUCCAUUCUCUAAUUUUAGUUUGCCUCAACCAAAUGUUAUAAAACUUAUACACAAUGCUUAUUACCACAAAACACAGAUCAAGUAUGAAUUUUGGUGGCGUCACUUUAAUCGUUCUAGAGUUAUGCCCCUUUAUAAAUGGAAAAAUUGCAAAAAUUUUAUUUUCUUCUAAAUAUCGAGUAAUUUUUAUACGACCGCAAAAAAAAUUUUGUGGUCAUAUAUUGGUAUGACGUUGGCGUCGUCGUCGUCCGAAGACGCAUUAGUUUUCGCACUCUAACAUUAGUUUAAGUGAAUGGAUCUCUAUGAAAUUUUACCAUAAGGUUCAAUACCACAAAAGGAAGGUGGGGAUUGAUUUUGGGGGUUAUGGUACCAACAGUUAAGGAAUUAGGGGCCAAAAAGGGGCCAAAAAUAAGCAUUUUCUAGUUUCCAGACAAUAACUGUGGAACGGUGUAUGGAUCUCUCUGAAAUUAUACUACAAGUUUCCAUACCACAAAGGGAUGGUUAGGAUUUGCUUUGGGGGGUUAUUGCUCAAACCGUUUAAGAAUUAGGGGCAAAAAAGGGGGAAAAACAAGGUUGUCCUGGUUAAUGGACAAAUACUUUAGUACAAAACAUAAUUUAAAGCAGUGUAAGGGAGAUAAAUCAAAUACAUCAUUGAAAUUAUCUCCCUUACACUGCUUUUAAAUUAUGUAUAAAGUAAUGGUUAAUGAACAAUUAAGAUAAUUUAAAACAGUGUAAGGGAGGUAAUCCAAAUACAACGUUUUGGUUACUUCCCUUACACUGCUUUUAAAUUAUGUUUAAAGAAAUGCAUAUUUAUAAAGGAAGACCAGUAAAAAUAUCUGCAAAUGUUGCAUUUUUUUUUUUACAAAAAAUUCCAUAUGAAAGAAUUGACACUAUAUUUUAAAUUCUAUUAUAAAAUAGAUUAAGUAAGCACUAUGGUAAAUUUAAAUGGGUAAUUAUGGUUGCAAACUCCAUUGGAAAUUUGAAUUGAGAUUAUGACCAUAUCUUGAGGGAACGAAUUUUUUGGGGGAAAAAAGGGGGGGGGGGGUCAAUUUUUUCUCAUUUCAGAUUUCAGAAAUUAAAAAGAAUUAUUCUUCAAAUAUUAUUUUUUUUUCAAAUUUCAAAUAUUGAAAAAUUUCAAGAAGUAAUCUUUAAUUGCACAGUAUGGCGCAUUAGAUUUGUAAAAUCUUUGACCACAUUUAUUUAUUUGUUAUGCCGAAUCUAACCAUGUAUUUAGAUUUUUAAUUUUAGGUCCAGUUUUCAAAUUGGUCUACAUUAAGGUCCAAAGGGUCCUAAAUUAAACUUAGUUUGAUUUUAACAAAAAUUGAAUUCUUGGGGUUCUUUGAUAUGCUGAAUCUAAACAUCUGUUUAGAUUUUUGAUUAUGGGCCCAGUUUACAAGUUGGUCCAAGUUGGGGUCCAAAAUUAAACUUUGUUUGAUUUCAACAAAAAUUGAAUAUAUGGGGUUCUUUGAUAUGCUGAAUCUAAACAUGUAUUUAGAUUUUUGAUUUUUGGCCCAGUUUUCAAGUUGGUCCAAAUUGGGUUCCAAAAUUAAACUUUGUUUGAUUUCAACAAAAAUUGAAUAUAUGGGGUUCUUUGAUAUGCUGAAUCUUACCAUGUAUUUAGAUUUUUUAUUUGUGGGCCCGCUAUCAAAUUGGUUCAUAUUGAGCUCAAAAGGGUCCAAAAUUGAACUUUGCUUGAUUUCAUCAAAAAUUGAAUUAUUGGGGUUUUUUGAUAUGCCAAAUCUAACCGUGUUUUUAUACGACCGCAAACAAAUUUUUGUGGUCGUAUAUUGGUAUGACGUUGGCGUCGUCGUCGUCGGCGUCGUCCGAAGACACAUUGGUUUUCGCACUCUAACUUUAGUUUAAGUGAAUGGAUCUUUAUGAAAUUUUACUACAAGGUUCAAUACCACAAAAGGAAGUUUGGGAUUGAUUUUGGGGGUUAUGGUAAUAACAGUAAAGGAAUUAGGGGCCAAAAAGGGGCCAAAAAUAAGCAUUUUUGUAACUUCCAGACAUAACUUGUGUGUUAGUGUAUGGAUCUCUCUGACAUUGUACCACAAGGUUCCAUAUCACUAAAGGAAUGCUGGGAUUGAUUUUGGGGGUAAUUGCCUCCAAAUUUUAGGAAUUAGGGGCCAAAAAAGGGGCAAAAAACAAGCAUUUUCUAGUUUCAUGACAAUAACUUGUGUGUAAGUGUAUGGAUCUUUCUGAAAUUGUACUACAAGGUUCCAUAUCACAAAGGGAAAGCUGGGUUUGAGUUUGGGGGUAAUUGCCCUAAACGUUUAGGAAUUUGGGGCCAAAAAGGG